GGGCAGAUGUCCGAGCGGUCCAAGGAGCCACGUUCAGGUCGUGGUCUGGAAACAGGCGUGGGUUCGAAUCCCACUCUGCUCA